rnacentral:rRNA from 1 species
CAGUAGCCGCGGUAAUACGAAGGGUGCAAGCGUUACUCGGAAUUACUGGGCGUAAAGCGUGCGUAGGUGGUGGUUUAAGUCCGUUGUGAAAGCCCUGGGCUCAACCUGGGAAUUGCAGUGGAUACUGGGUCACUAGAGUGUGGUAGAGGAUAGUGGAAUUUCCGGUGUAGCAGUGAAAUGCGUAGGGAUCGGAAGGAACAUCUGUGGCGAAGGCGACUAUCUGGGCCAACACUGACACUGAGGCACGAAAGCGUGGGGAGCAAACAGGAUUAGAUACCCCCGUAGUCCCUGUCUCUUAUAC